UUGUCUUGAAACUAUACAUUUAUUUUCUUAUUUAAAAUGUCUAGCCCAUUGAUAUGUUGGCCUAUAUAUAGUACAAAAUUCAUAACUUGAUGACAUGAUUGUAAACUUAUAAAAGAAGCUCCAAGCUUGAACUACAAGAAAUCUAUGUUUUCUAGCAACAUAUUGCAUGAAUAUAGAUACAAGUAACAUUUAAGUACAAAACAAAAAACUGGAAAAAAUCCACCAAAGUUGGCCGAUAGAGUCUAAUCUACCGUCUUUGGAAGUUGAAGACCUUGAUUGAGACAGCAAAAAUACAUGCAAACAACACUGCAGUCCCAACAACCACAACUGCACAAACUCCUAUGAAGUCAUGCUUCAUACCAAAAUAACUUCUUAUGAAUUCUUGAACUGACUCAUUCUCUGAUUCCAUGAUUUUGGUUAUAUCUCCAAAUUGUGAUGCAAUCAGUCCGUAUAGUGUCCAAGACACUGGACAGCCCCAGUAGUACCAUCUCCACCAGACAGGAAUCAUCUGUCGCGGAACGAUAAAUCCUGAAAAAAGAUUCCAAAUUGCGUAAAAUGCAGCAGCCACGAUUGAUGCGACAUGGUGAUUUGGAGUAAUUGCUACAGCCAUCAUACCAUAGAAGGUGAAGUAGCAUAAUGUACAGUACAUGAAAAAUAUGUACCAUAAGAACUUCGCUACAGUCCACUCAAAUCCAAUCAUGGCAUAAACUAUC
rnacentral:lncRNA from 1 species